UGAGGAACAUGACCUUCGGCGGGGGAUAGCCGGCCCAACGGCCGGGUAAUACCGCGUACGACCACAUGGGGACAUCCCUGAGUGGUGAAAGCAGCAAUGCGCCGAUGGAGUGCCUCGCGGCCUAUCAGCUAGUUGGUGAGGUAACGGCUCACCAAGGCGACGACGGGUAGCUGGUCUGAGAGGAUGGCCAGCCACAUUGGGACUGAGACACGGCCCAGACCU
rnacentral:rRNA from 1 species